rnacentral:rRNA from 1 species
UACAGAGGUCUCGAGCGUUGUUCGGAUUCAUUGGGCGUAAAGGGUGCGUAGGUGGCGCUGUAAGUCGGGUGUGAAAUCCUGGAGGCUUAACCUCGGAACUGCAUUCGAAUACUGCGGCGCUUGAGGACUGGAGAGGAGACUGGAAUUCAUGGUGUAGCAGUGAAAUGCGUAGAGAUCAUGAGGAAGACCAGUGGCGAAGGCGGGUCUCUGGACAGUUCCUGACGCUGAGGCACGAAGGCCAGGGAGCAAACGGG